UACGUAGGGCGCAAGCGUUAUCCGGAAUUAUUGGGCGUAAAGAGCUCGUAGGCGGUUUGUCGCGUCUGCCGUGAAAGUCCGGGGCUCAACUCCGGACUUGCAGUGGGUACGGGCAGGCUAGAGUGUGGUAGGGGAGACUGGAAUUCCUGGUGUAGCGGUGGAAUGCGCAGAUAUCAGGAGGAACACCGAUGGCGAAGGCAGGUCUCUGGGCCACUACUGACGCUGAGAAGCGAAAGCAUGGGGAGCGAACAGG
rnacentral:rRNA from 1 species